UUUCCUCAUCUGCAAAAGAGAGAUACCAAUAUUUCCUACGCAUGGAGUAGGAAUUAUACAGAACAUUGUCGUGGUGCAUGCUGAAUGUUAUGGAAUUAUUAAGUAUUGUUAUUAAAUUCCUGGGUUUCUGGUGGAGUUAGCCCAAAGUAACGUCUGCAAGUGUGUGCCCUGAACAUUCUUUGCUUGUUAUUGGGUUUCCACCACUGACCAAGGAUAUUGGACGAUUUUCAUCUUCCCUUCCCUCCGAUGACAUGAGUGCCUUUGGUGAGAGUAAAAUCGGGAGUGCUGCCUCUGGAGAUGAUCCAUUCUGGAUUCCACACCUAUGGCUCCCAAGAACUAGCCACAUGAGCUUGGACAAGAGUCACAUAACCUGGGCAAGGCCGUCUCCCCAUUUUCAAAAUGGGACAACAAUAGAAACUACAUCAAGGUUCUAUUUGAUAGUCCCACUUGGAGGCAGAUUGACAAAGCAGGAUUGAGCAUUGACCGAUUACAUCUGGAAUUUUGUCCACCCACAGGUAGAAGCAAUUGGCGAUGGCAGAAGGAGGAGAAGGCUCAAAAUGGCUGUAUUGCAUCCACCAUGUUCAUCUCUGGCCAGGCACUCAGUUUCUAUCUAAAAACCAACUAGUGUUUUUACUGGCACCUUUUCCAAGUUGUUUCUUUUAGCAUCCUCUCUGUAUCAUGCACUGAACACAGUAUACCCUCAGUAACUCAUUUAACGUCACAAAUUUAGCAGCACUCAAAGAAUUAUUCAUCUCUUGGAAUAAUGCACCUCAGCAAGGCUUGAAGCUGAGCUAAAAUGGGAUUUUUUUAAACCCAGAUUAUCAGUGGAUGCGAUACCCAAGAGUUGUCUCUUUUCAUUAACAAAUAGAAAAGUAAAUUGCAAGAAAUGUAUCACUCUAGUGUAUAAUGUUGAUAGUGGGGGAGGCUGUGAGUGGGUAGGGGGAAGGGGGUUAUGGGAACUCUGUGUAGUUUCUGCUCAGUUUUGCUCUUAACCUAAAACUACUUUAAAAAAUAAAGUCUACUUAAAAUGGAGGGGGGAUUAAUAAUCCAUUUAUAUAAACAGAGAUGACAUAUUUGCGUUUUUAAAGAGAUAUUUGGUUUUGUGAUUCAGGUCGAUUUUAUAUUUGCCAUGGUUUUCUCUGUAAGGUGCACUUAUUAGUGAAUUUAAAAGUCUUAAGACAACUUUUUUCAUUGUUGUUUGCCAAAUGCAACUUUCUCUGAAGUUGUUAUCACCAUGCAGAAAAUUGUAAGCACCUUAUACAUUAUUUUUCAGCCAAAACAACAGCAUGAAUAACUUUAAUUGGUAAGAUUUUGAAUUAUAAAACUGGCAGUGUAGGGGCACUAUGUGGCUCAGUCAGUUAAGUGUCCGACUCUUGAUUUCGGCUCAGGUCAUGAUCUCACAAUUUGUGAGUUCAAGCCCCGUGUGGGGGCUCUGUGCUGACAGUGCGGAACCUGUUUGGGAUUCUCUCUCUCCCUCUCUCUGCACCUCCCCUCCUCUCUCUCUCAAAGUAAUUAAAUAAACAUUUGAAAAUAUUGGGGCACCUUGGUGGCUCAGUCGGUUAAGAGUCUGACUUUGGCUCAAGUCAUGAUCUCCCGGUUCAUGGGUUCAAGCCCCAUGUCAGGCUCUGCACUGACAACUCAGAACCUGGAGCCUGCUUGGGAUUCUUUGUCUCUCUCUCUCUCUGCCCUUCCCCUACUCAUGCUCUCUCUCAGUCUCUCAAAAAUAAAUAAAAUGGUGAAAAAAAUUUAAAUAAAU